rnacentral:rRNA from 1 species
CCUACGGGGGGCAGCAGUGGGGAAUAUUGGGCAAUGGGCGCAAGCCUGACCCAGCAACGCCGCGUGAAGGAAGAAGGUCUUCGGAUUGUAAACUUUUUUGACAGGGGACGAACAAUGACGGUACCCUGAAAACAAGCCACGGCUAACUACGUGCCAGCAGCCGCGGUAAUACGUAGGUGGCAAGCGUUAUCCGGAUUUACUGGGUGUAAAGGGUGAGUAGGCGGGGAAACAAGUCAGAUGUGAAAUGCAAAGGCUUAACCUUUGAACUGCAUUUGAAACUGUUUUUCUUGAGAGUCGGAGAGGUAAUCGGAAUUCCCAGUGUAGCGGUGAAAUGCGCAGAGAUUGGGAGGAACACCAGUGGCGAAGGCGGAUUACUGGACGACAACUGACGCUGAUGCACGAAAGCGUGGGGAGCAAACAGGAUUAGAUACCCCGGUAGUC